rnacentral:rRNA from 1 species
CCUUAUUAAGCACCAAGGAGCAGGUAUCAGGCACAACUAUUUAGCCCAAAACACCUUGCUACGCCACACCCACACGGGCACCCAGCAGUGAUAAACAUUAAGCAAUGAGUGAUAGCUAACCUAAGCUCGACUUAGUUAUGAUCAUUAGGGCCGGUAAACCUCGUGCCAGCCACCGCGGUUAUACGAGGGGCCCAAAACAAUAGAUAUCGGCGUAAAUUGUGGCUAGAGCGCCUCUUACAACACUGAAAGACAAACGAAAGCCUAAUCGUAAAACCUAGGCCAAAAGAAACACAAACUUUCAGCUAUAAAGUAACUUGAACCCACGAAGACUAAGAAACAAACUAGGAUUAGAUACCCUACUAUGCUUAGUUGUUAAUAUGACAUCAGAAAACACUACUGUCCGCCAGAGAAUUACACGCGAAAAGCUUAAAACUCAAAGGACUUGGCGGUGCUCCGUAUUCGUCUUAGAGGAGCCUGUCCUAUAAUCGAUAACCCACGCUUUACCUUACCAUCUUUUGUUAAACAGCCUAUAUACCGCCGUCGCAAACUUACCCCAUGAGGGCACAACAGUAAGUAAAAUAGUAAUACACUAACACGUCAGGUCAAGGUGUAGCUAAUAAGAUGGAAGAGAUGGGCUACAUUUUCUAAAACAGAACACAC